AUUGAACGCUGGCGGCAUGCCUUACACAUGCAAGUCGAACGUGAAAGCGGGGGCAACCCGCAAGUAGAGUGGCGGACGGGUGAGUAAUACAUCGGAACGUGUCCAGUAAUGGGGGAUAACCUAGCGAAAGUUAGGCUAAUACCGCAUACGAUCUGCGGAUGAAAGCGGGGGAUGCGGCACUAAAGGCUUUUGGCGAAGGUGGCCAAAGGUGAGUCAAGAGCUUUUAGUGCUGCACCUCGCGUUAUUGGAGCGGCUGAUGUCUGAUUAGCUAGUUGGUGAGGUAAAGGCUUACCAGGCGACGAUCAGUAGCUGGUCUGAGAGGACGGCCAGCCAC
rnacentral:rRNA from 1 species